rnacentral:rRNA from 1 species
GUACACGCUGUGACUAGCAUAUCAAUAAGCGGAGGAAAAGAAACUAACAAGGAUUCCCCUAGUAACGGCGAGUGAAGCGGGAAGAGCUCAAAUUUGAAAUCUUAAAGGGUUUCCCUUUACGAAUUGUAGUUUAAAGAAGUGUUUUCUGUUGAGGUUUUGGUAAAAGUUCUUUGGAAUAGGACAUCAUAGAGGGUGAGAAUCCCGUAUUUGACCUUUACUUUCAACUUUGUGAUACACUUUCAAAGAGUCGGAUUGUUUGGGAAUGCAGUCCAAAAUGGGUGGUAAAUUUCAUCUAAAGCUAAAUAUUGGCGAGAGACCGAUAGCGAACAAGUACCGUGAGGAAAGAUGAAAAGAACUUUGAAAAGAGAGUUAAACAGUACGUGAAAUUGUCAAAAGGGAAGCGUUUGACACCAGUGUUGUUUUUCUGAAAAUCAAUUAAAGAACUGUUUAUGCUAAGCUGUUUAGACUUUAUCAGCUAUCUGUUUAGUUUUGAGCUUUUCUUUAAUGCACUUUUCAGUUAACAAGUCAACAUCAAUUUCUUUUGCUGUAAAAAAAGCUUGAGGAAGGUGGCUUGAGAUUCGUCUUAAGUGUUUAUAGCCUCUUGCCUAUGCAGUCGGAGAGAUUGAGGUCUGCAGCGUAGAUCCUUCGGGGCUAAAUGCAUUUGUGCUAAGUUAUAGCAUUUUAUAGACAACUUGUUGACUAUGAUUUGUCUUGUAGCUUACUCGCUUAUGUUAUUUUACCUACGCUUAGGAUGUUGAAGAUGUAGCACAUCAU